UACGGAGGGUGCAAGCGUUGUCCGGAAUCACUGGGCGUAAAGGGCGCGUAGGUGGCUCGGUAAGCGGGCGGUGAAAGCCCGGGGCUCAACCCCGGGUCGGCCGUGCGGACUGCCGUGGCUUGAGCACUGUAGAGGCAGGUAGAAUUCCGGGUGUAGCGGUGGAAUGCGUAGAGAUCCGGAAGAGUACCGGUGGCGAAGGCGGCCUGCUGGGCAGUUGCUGACACUGAGGCGCGACAGCGUGGGGAGCAAAAGGG
rnacentral:rRNA from 1 species